AACUCACUUUGAUUUGAGUUGAGUCUUGGUUCACCAAUCUACUAGGCUUUGAAUUUCUUGGUUAAUGUUUUGUUUUUAAGUGCAUGCUAGCAUGAUUCCGCCUUUAAUUGUUAAUUGCAUGCUUUAUUGAUGUUGCUUAAAUGAACAUGUUUUCACAAAAUUUUCCUUCAAGUGGUAUCAGAGCCUAGGUCUAGUAGUUGGUGAAUCCUUUUGGGUUUUGUGGUUCAUAGUUUGUGAUUUAAAAGUUGUAAUUGUUACAAGCUUUAUUCUUGUUUCUUUGAAUGUAAAUUUUGUUAGAAAAUUUGCCAUCUCAAAUGUUGUAGAUGUAGUUCAUAUGAGCAUGAAUAUUGGAGCUAAAAUUUGGUGCCAUGACUUUGGGGAUUUUCGGCCAAAUCCAAAGGGUGGAUUUUUGGGUUCUUGUUUGACUUGUUAAAAGUGUUUUAAAGUGACUUUUGGAACCCCUAUGUACCCUAGUUUGGUUAGAUGUUAUUUCCCUUAAGUUUGAAUGGUUUUGGAAUGUUUUUGGGUGAAAAAUGUUCAUGGAAAUUUUUUGUGUUUUUCAUGAAUGUUCUUCAUUGUUCUUGACAUUUUUGCCAAGAACAAAAAGUUUGGUGUUUUGAUUCAAAGUUUUGAUUAAUUUCAUAAAGUCUUUGUUUUGUGUUGAUUGGUGUGAAAUAUCUAUCAUCAAAACAUUUAUAUUUUUGAAAGGUGAUAGAAAUUGUGAUGGGUGUGUAAGACUUACACACCUUACACACCUUACACACCUUACACAGCACUUGCAAGUAUUUAUGUCACAAACCACUUGCAAGGCUUUAUGAAUUUGUUGAAAAAAAAAUUUUCAAAAUUUUUGUGGACCAACACUCCAAAACCGGCCACCCUAUUAUUAGGGUUCUUUU
rnacentral:lncRNA from 1 species